AAAUAGAUACUAUGUCUCAGAAACCAACUAUGCAUGUCAGCAGAGGAAAAUAAUAGUGUUGGGGCUAUCUGGUUAGACAUACUUCCUCUCAGAAAACCCCGGAUGUGGUGAGUGGCCCCAGGACAUCAUCCCAAGCAGGUGGGCUGUUCUCAUAAAGGGAAGAGCCCCCCAGCUGUAACAGCUGGAUGGAACAUUCCCCUACCGAGACAAUUCCAGCAGUUUCUUUUUGUGAAGGUCAAAAGCAGGAUGCAGCCAUUUCCCCAAACCACUGCAUGGGGUGUGGAGCACAUUCAAGCUGGUUCCUUUCUCUCAAGGCUCAGAGCCAGAAGAGACUGCUCUCACAGGCUUGGUCUCAGGCGGGCAGAAGCGACCUCCUCCUACUUCCAUUCCCUCCCUCCGGUAUCUUUCACUCAGGACAUCACAAUCCAAGAAGUCUUGAUGACUCUGACAGAUGUCUGGUCUGACCAGAAGAGAAACUGGGAAUAAUCAUGCUUGCUACUUGCUACCUAUGCCAUUUUGAGAGGAAAGAGGGACAUCUGAGCCAUGUGAAAAUUACAGAACAGACGUGUCAGCAAAGCCAUAUUCCCUCCAAAAGCUCUGGAAAGAAUCCUUGCAGCUGCUAAGUAAAAAUCGGAGGCCAGUGUUGGGAUCAAGCCACACCAAGACUCAACAGAGAAGGCUGAAGUCCAACUGGAGUCUUUCGUGUCCAUGCUGAAGCUGUUGGACUAGCACUAAACUAGGAACCCCUGCUCACAUGGAUACUCUCGGGCCUGAGCGGAGACAUAACAUUCUGAUGGGGCAGUCAGUCGCCUGGACAUCAGGAGUUUGCAGAUGGGGGAUUUGGUGGCAAAGCAAGGGGUAUAUCCUUUCCCGUUCUUUCAGAUGCUGGCCAGAACUUAAAUGAACUAUUUCUGGUAUUUUGGGCUUUCUUACUUUCCCUAAAGCCUCUCUCUCUGCUCAUCCAUCAAGUGUCUGACCAUCUCUGAGUUGACUUCAACAGGGUGUUUCCCCCCUGCUCUCCUCCUCCAGGUAGCAGCUGGGAUUUACAGCUUGCCUGCUCUGAGGAAUUUUCUUUAAACACUAAUAAAAUUAUCCUCAAGUUUCCAUUUGAA